rnacentral:lncRNA from 1 species
CUGGGUCUUAAGAGUGGAGCCCCUCAGGAGUGGGCUUGGUGUCCAAUAAAACAUGACCUUCCACCAAGGGAGGGCACACCUGAAAGGGCAACAACGGGAUAUCUGAGAGGAGUUCCGGUGAGGAUCCAGAAUCGUUAGUGAAGCAGAAGCCAGAGGCCGCGAAUCAGACCAAACGACUCAAUGCAAAGAACACUUGCAAGCAAAGCUGUUUGGACAGAAGGGUGCACUGUGGACAGACACACCGCAACUUCCAUGUCACCUCGACGUUGACCCAAAAGACACAGCCCAGUGAUUCUGGACUUCCUGAUCUGCUUUCAGGCUGCUGAAGGCCAGGACACUCAGAACCAUGUGACCAGACUUUUAUGUGCUCAAGACUGUUAAUCUCCUUAAUUGAAAUUGAUUGGCCUCCUGGGACCCAGCUCUGCCCUGGCCCUGAGCUUCAGCAGAGCAAGCAGUGAGCAACAAGCCAUCUCUCCAGCCCCAGUAACCAGAUGCUUUUCCGAGGGCAAAUGCUAACCAGAGCAGACUUGAGAAUGAAGAGCAAGAGGUCAGAGGAAGCCAGG